rnacentral:rRNA from 1 species
CCUACGGGAGGCAGCAGUGGGGAAUAUUGGACAAUGGGCGAAAGCCUGAUCCAGCAAUGCCGCGUGAGUGAUGAAGGCCUUCGGGUCGUAAAGCUCUUUUACCAGGGAUGAUAAUGACAGUACCUGGAGAAUAAGCUCCGGCUAACUCCGUGCCAGCAGCCGCGGUAAUACGGAGGGAGCUAGCGUUGUUCGGAAUUACUGGGCGUAAAGAGUACGUAGGCGGUUAUUCAAGUCAGAGGUGAAAGCCCGGGGCUCAACCCCGGAACUGCCUUUGAAACUAGAUAACUAGAGUCUUGGAGAGGUUAGUGGAAUUCCGAGUGUAGAGGUGAAAUUCGUAGAUAUUCGGAAGAACACCAGUGGCGAAGGCGACUAACUGGACAAGUACUGACGCUGAGGUACGAAAGCGUGGGGAGCAAACAGGAUUAGAUACCCUGGUAGUCCACGCCGUAAACGAUGAUAACUAGUUGUUCGGUCACUUGGUGACUGAGUGACGCAGCUAACGCAUUAAGUUAUCCGCCUGGGGAGUACGGUCGCAAGAUUAAAACNCAAAGAAUUGACGGCUGAGAGNGCGAGACGACACGAGGAGAG